rnacentral:rRNA from 1 species
AUUUUCUUGUCUCAAAGAUUAAGCCAUGCAUGUCUAAGUAUAAGCAACUAUACAGUGAAACUGCGAAUGGCUCAUUAAAUCAGUUAUCGUUUAUUUGAUAGUACCUUACUACUUGGAUAACCGUGGUAAUUCUAGAGCUAAUACAUGCUAAAAAUCCCGACCUCUGGAAGGGAUGUAUUUAUUAGAUAAAAAACCAAUGCCUUCGGGCUCCUUGGUGAUUCAUGAUAACUUAACGAAUCGCAUGGCCUUGCGCCGGCGAUGGUUCAUUCAAAUUUCUGCCCUAUCAACUUUCGAUGGUAGGAUAGUGGCCUACCAUGGUUUCAACGGGUAACGGGGAAUUAGGGUUCGAUUCCGGAGAGGGAGCCUGAGAAACGGCUACCACAUCCAAGGAAGGCAGCAGGCGCGCAAAUUACCCAAUCCCGAUUCGGGGAGGUAGUGACAAUAAAUACUGAUACAGGGCUCUUUUGGGUCUUGUAAUUGGAAUGAGUACAAUUUAAAUCCCUUAACGAGGAACAAUUGGAGGGCAAGUCUGCCCC